rnacentral:rRNA from 1 species
GAUGAACGCUAGCUACAGGCUUAACACAUGCAAGUCGAGGGACCGGCGCACGGGUGAGUAGCACGUAUCCAGCCUGCCCUUUACUCGGGGAUAGCCUUUCGAAAGAACGAUUAAUACCCUAUAUACAGGAUGGGGAUGCGUUCCAUUAGGUUGUUGGUGAGGGAACGGCCCACCAAGCCUUCGAUGGAUAGGGGUUCGGAGAGGAAGGCACCCCACAUUGGAAAUGCGACACGGUCCAAACUCCUACGGGAGGGAGCAGUAAGUAAGAUUGGUCAAUGGGCGUUAGCCUGACCCAGCCAAGUAGCGGGAAGGAUGAAGGCGUAUUGGUCGUAAAUUUCUUGUAUAGAAGAAUAGGUAUCAUAUGAAUAAGGACCGGCUAACUCCGUGCCAGCAGCCGCGGUAAUUC